CCAUGAUUCUCAUUCAAGUUCUUACUGCUAUGAAGAACAAAUAUCAACUGUGCAAAUUUCGAAACUGACUAUAUUUUUUGGUGUCUUCUCUUCCCUUUCUGUCUGAAUAAUGGGUUUUUAGCAGGUUCUAGUCUGCUGGCACUGAGCUGGGCAUCUGGGGUUGGGUAACCAAACCCUUUCAAAAGGACUCUUAUCUGUUUCUUGCACACAUGCUCCCUCCCACUUUUCCCAGCCCCCAAAUUUGCAACUAGAGGAGGUUGCCCAUAAUAUGGUCCUGCCUUUGACAAGCUCUCUUAUUUAUUGACUUUUGCCAAGGCUUGGUUGCAAAGAACUCAUUCGCACAGUUUUUUCACCUUUGGUGGCAGGACUGUAACAGUAGGGAAGAAGACUGAAGCAGUGGAUGAAUAGCUUGCUCAGCUUUUGGAAUUGCUGUGACCUGACAUCAGUUGCAACCAUUUGCCACCUCUUCAGAUGUUUUUAUAAAAAAGCACCACUGAGUCAGUGAGGGCCACAGAUUGCUAUUAAUGAGGUAUGAGGGUUGUUGCUAGGCAUUUUUUUCCCUAAGUUAAGUGAUCAAAAUUGUAGUGGAGUUGCACCUAACAUGGGGGGUAAGUUUAAUCCAUGGUGGACAUAAUCCCUUUGUGUUUUGUAUAUAGGGCAUACUGGCUUUGUGUCCCAGAGUGGUUGGGUUGUGUUGUAUUAGGAGGUUCCAAAUCACAUUGGCCACAGCAAGAUGCUCUCUUUGAGAGGCUCCUGGAUGUUGAUUGCAUUUCAUUAUCAUUCUGGAUAUGUUUGUUGAGUAAGGUGGGAGAACCUCAUACCCUAUUUAAAUUGUCUUUUUUUUGCUCCCUGCCCUGUUUUUGGUGAAGUGUUCAGUUAAUUGUGAGGAAGCUGUAGCUCCUGUGUGUGUAGAUCAUUUUUUAAAGCUAACUUAAGCACACCUAAGUGAAUCACACAUAAUUUUGGUUUGUAAUGAUUUUAGAAUCAUUUGUGUUUGAGGGUCUUUAUUAUUUUGAGUCAUGAAUGUACAAGCUCUGUGUAUCAGGCCAGCUUAAAUACCCACCAGUUUUAUUCAUGGGUGGGCUUUUUCGAUCAGAGCUUGGCUCAUCACCAAAUGAAGGUUUUUGAAGGCUGUGGUGUUUCACACAGUUAUUUUACUUUGUUUUUAUUCUGAAAGCAGACUGAGGAGCAGUGUCAGGUGACUGCUGUACUUUGAGUCAGCUAAAAAGGCUUUGAGCAUUUUGAUUAGUUUCUUUUCAGGAAACGUGCUCUACACAGUAUGACUAUUCUUUUCCCUACUCUUAAACAUUGAUGCGUGUUAUAUUAGGAAAUGGGAAUUUGAAACAGCUUUUUAUUUUUAAUAAAGUUUGUUUGUGUGUACCUCUCCAUAUUUAAUUUAUAUGAUAGAAUAGUAGGUGGGGAGAGUCUGAACCUUCACUGUCAUAUGUUUUGCUGUUGAGCUGUGGCCACAAUAAAGUUUACUUGGAAAAUUUUA